rnacentral:ncRNA from 1 species
CUUCAACCUCGGGGAUGCAAACAACAGGGGGUUGCGGUAAAUAGCGGAACUGGUGGUCAGGGAUGGAAUACCGCAAAAGGGGUGGCGAAGAUAGCGCCCCUUCCCGAAAAGGCUGUCGCGU